rnacentral:rRNA from 1 species
AGUGAACGCUGGCGGUAGGCCUAACACAUGCAAGUCGAACGGCAGCACAGUAAGAGCUUGCUCUUACGGGUGGCGAGUGGCGGACGGGUGAGGAAUACAUCGGAAUCUACUUUUUCGUGGGGGAUAACGUAGGGAAACUUACGCUAAUACCGCAUACGACCUACGGGUGAAAGCAGGGGAUCUUCGGACCUUGCGCGAUUGAAUGAGCCGAUGUCGGAUUAGCUAGUUGGCGGGGUAAAGGCCCACCAAGGCGACGAUCCGUAGCUGGUCUGAGAGGAUGAUAAGCCACACUGGAACUGAGACACGGUCCAGACUCCUACGGGAGGCAGCAGUGGGGAAUAUUGGACAAUGGGCGCAAGCCUGAUCCAGCCAUACCGCGUGGGUGAAGAAGGCCUUCGGGUUGUAAAGCCCUUUUGUUGGGAAAGAAAAGCAGCAGGUUAAUACCCCGCUGUUCUGACGGUACCCUAAGAAUAAGCACCGGCUAACUUCGUG